UAAACUAGGAUUAGAUACCCUAUUAUUAGAAAUAAUACAUUGUUAGUAAAUAAUAUUUAUGAAAACAAAAAAUCAUGGCGGUAUCUUAAGCUUUUCAGAGGAAUUUGCUCUUUAAUGGAUAAAACACCCAAAUCUUACUAAAAUUGGUUAAGACAGUUUGUAUACCACUAUUUAAGUAAUUAUUAAUUAUAAUUGCUGUAAAUUUUAAACAAAAAAAAAGUUAAGUCAAGGUGCAGCAUAAAUUUUAGGAUGAAGUGAAUUACAAUGCUUUUUAGAAAAGCGAUUUUAAAAAAAAAAAUUAGGAUUUGAAAGUAAAAAUUUUAAUAGAAUGAUUAUUUGAAUUAAGCUCUGAGAUAUGUACAUAUCGCCC
rnacentral:rRNA from 1 species